AGAGUUUGAUUAUGGCUCAGGAUGAACGCUAGCGACAGGCUAACACAUGCAAGUCGAGGGGCAGCAUAAAAGUAGCAAUACUUGGUGGCGACCGGCGCACGGGUGAGUAACGCGUAUGCAACCUACCUAUCAGAGGGGAAUAACCCGGCGAAAGUCGGACUAAUACCGCAUAAAACAGGGGCACCGCAUGGUGAUAUUUGUUAAAGAAAUUCGCUGAUAGAUGGGCAUGCGUUCCAUUAGGUAGUUGGUGAGGUAACGGCUCACCAAGCCGACGAUGGAUAGGGGAACUGAGAGGUUGGUCCCCCACACUGGUACUGAGACACGGACCAGACUCCUACGGGAGGCAGCAGUGAGGAAUAUUGGUCAAUGGGCGGGAGCCUGAACCAGCCAAGUCGCGUGAAGGAAAGAAGGAUCUAUGGUUCGUAAACUUCUUUUGCAGGGGAAUAAAGUGCAGGACGUGUCCUGUUUUGUAUGUACCCUGAGAAUAAGGAUCGGCUAACUCCGUGCCAGCAGCAGC
rnacentral:rRNA from 1 species